rnacentral:rRNA from 1 species
GUGGGGAAUAUUGGACAAUGGGCGCAAGCCUGAUCCAGCAAUGCCGCGUGCAGGAAGAAGGCCUUCGGGUUGUAAACUGCUUUUGUACGGAACGAAACGGUCCUGGCUAAUACCUGGGGCUAAUGACGGUACCGUAAGAAUAAGCACCGGCUAACUACGUGCCAGCAGCCGCGGUAAUACGUAGGGUGCGAGCGUUAAUCGGAAUUACUGGGCGUAAAGCGUGCGCAGGCGGUGCUGUAAGACAGGCGUGAAAUACCCGGGCUCAACCUGGGAAUUGCGCUUGUGACUGCAGUGCUGGAGUGCGGCAGAGGGGGAUGGAAUUCCGCGUGUAGCAGUGAAAUGCGUAGAUAUGCGGAGGAACACCGAUGGCGAAGGCAAUCCCCUGGGCCUGCACUGACGCUCAUGCACGAAAGCGUGGGGAGCAAACAGGAUUAGAUACCCGGGUAGUCC